UACGAAGGGGACUAGCGUUGUUCGGAAUCACUGGGCGUAAAGCGCUCGUAGGCGGAUUCGUAAGUCAGGGGUGAAAUCCCGGGGCUCAACCUCGGAACUGCCUUUGAUACUGCGGGUCUUGAGUCCGAUAGAGGUGGGUGGAAUUCCUAGUGUAGAGGUGAAAUUCGUAGAUAUUAGGAAGAACACCGGUGGCGAAGGCGGCCCACUGGAUCGGUACUGACGCUGAGGUGCGAAAGCGUGGGGAGCAAACAGG
rnacentral:rRNA from 1 species